ACUAAGAACCUGAGGUUUUGAGUGCAGAGGGGUGUGCAUGUCGCCCUAUAGUACUGUAUACUGUACACUAUCAGCAGCAGCUGCACACUCGUUCACACGUCUUGACCAGUAUGGCUGGAUUGAAACUGUGGUUUGUUCUGCUUCUGGUGCGGACGUUUUGCACUGACAGCCAAGUGGCUGGAGAGCGACGGGUGAAAACCAUUGGUAGAGAACCAGAUGUGACUCCAGUGUGUCCCAAUGAAACCCUGCAAACUAUCACAUUCAUAUUAUGUAGAAUCAGCACAGAGGGAAGCAGAGAAGAAGGAUGUAAUCUCACUUAUCAAUUUGGGCACGACUUUGACCACGGAUGUGACUCCAGAUUCUCACUGAUUAAAGAAAACCAAACUGUAUUUCUCCAUCUGAACGGCUUAACACCAAACGACAGUGGAAACUACAGCUGUCAGUGUUCAAAUUCUCAAGGAACCUAUACUCUGCAUCUCAAUAUCACUGUGGAAGUUGAUGAAGAUGCCACCAUCAUCACCACCAGUUCCACGGAAACAUCCUUCUUGUUCAUCCUAACCGGAGUGAUUACAUUCGUCAUUACAUUCGGACUAAUCCUGGGAUUAAUCUGCAGAAAAAUGUGCCACAGGCAAAACCCAACUGGAGCACCUGAUUCAGCCAGACGUGAUCCUCGACAGUCUUUGGAGCAGGAUGACACCUAUACCAGCCUUCAGCAUCCAGACAACGACAUCUACCACUCUGUCUCCAACAGUCACCCACUCCAUCACACUGACUUCAGAUCAGCCUGCACUGAUACAGCCAUCGUCUACACCAACAGUCAGGAAGCUCAUGGGAAAGAAUAUGAUUUUAACUCGGUUUAUGCAGUCUAUGAAACAAUCUAAAACUGAUUCAGAGACAGUAAAUAUACGGUAUUAUUAACACAAUACACUUGUUUUCCAGCUUACAUGAAUGUUUUGACCUGAAAGCACAACACUGAUGUUAGUUUGAAAUGAUUUGGAUGCUUCAGAUUGACAGAAAAUUAGCUUGUGUACACAAUUAGCACAAACAGUAUAAACUUAUUCAAAGGACAUUUCUGAAAAACUUAUACUGUUAAAAAAAAUUACCUUAAAUCCAUCAGUGUUUGUCUGUGGGAAGUUGAUUUGAAUUUCUGCAAUUUAUAUCAACAAUGUAAAAAAUACUGUAAAAUAACUUAAUCUCGUAGAGAAAAUGUUUCUGACAGAUUUUAUGUAAUUAAAGUAUAUUUUCUUGCCUUGAUGUUACAUGAAAUCAUGCAUAUUUUUUCAUUUGAUGAAUAAUAUUUACACACGGAGAUGUUUGGGUGUGUGUGUUUGUGUGGAAUAUGAUGGAUGUGUGUGUAAAAUUGCGAAACUGAUAUAGUCUGUUUAUUAAUAAUAUUUGUAUCUAUUUUUAGAAAUACAUUUAAAGUAAUAAAAUUUAAUUUAAGUUUCAUACUCAUGAAGUUUCCUACUUUUUUAAAAAAUUUCAAACAGUUGAAGUUUAAAUGUCAUGCUUUUCCACAGAUAAUCUCUGAUGCUAUUUUACAUUUGACCUGUAAAAUUUACUUUGUUUCUGUAUGUUUUUGUUUUUUACUUUAUUUGAAAAAUAUAGGAGAAAAGUGAAAUAAAAAUGACAAAUUCAGAAAAUUUUAUUUGAUUUUACAGUGCAGGAGAAGGAGUAGCUCUGUGAUAAGAUGUGUGCUUUGUUAGGCUGGACUGAGGGUGGAGAGGCUUUUUAUUUUUGUCUGAGGUGACAGAUCCUCUUCAAAGGAGAUGACAAUCGAGUGAACGCUUGUGCUGAGAUUAUCUGAUGGCAAAGCGGUCACAUGUGAUACAUUUUAGUUGCAAACUAGACCACGUACGCUUGUUGAAUCACAAACAAAGCAACAGAAAGUUCUUUUAGCCUCUUAGUGAAGUUAGAAAUAAGCGCAGCGACCUUCAUCUCAGGCAGAAUAUCUUCUCUUUUUUUGUGACAGCAGUGAUGUCUUCCACUUCCUUUUCAAACCUCGUACCAACUCAUACCUUUGUGAGAACUGUAAACCUGAGGUUAUGAGUGAAAAGGGGUGUGCGUGCCGUCCUAUAGUACUGUAUACUGUACACUAUCAGCAGCAGCUGCACACUCGCUCACACGUCUUGACCAGUAUGGCUGGAUGGAAACUGUGGUUUGCUCUGCUUCUGCUGCGGACAUUUUGCACUGACAGCCAAGUGGCUGGGGAGCGACUGGUGAAAACCGUUGGUAGAGAACCAGAUGUGACUCCAGUGUGUCCCAAAGAAACCCUGCAAACUAUCACAUUCAUAUUAUGUAGAAUCAGCACAGAGGGAAGCAGAGAAGAAGGAUGUAAUCUCACUUAUCAAUUUGGGCAUGACUUUGACCACGGAUGUGACUCCAGAUUCUCACUGAUUAAAGAAAACCAAACUAUAUUCCUCCAUCUGAACGGCUUAACACCAAACGACAGUGGAAACUACAGCUGUCAGUGUUCAAAUUCUCAAGGAACCUAUAAUCUGCAUCUCAAUAUCACUGUGGAAGUUGAUGAAGAUGCCGCCAUCAUCACCACCAGUUCCAUGGAAACAUCCUUCUUGUUCAUCCUAACUGGAGUGAUUACAUUCGUCAUCAUAUUCGGACUAAUCCUGGGAUUAAUCUGCAGAAAAAGGCGCCACAGCAGAAGACAGCAGCUGCCCAUAACCAGCCUUCCGAACACGGAAACAGAAGAGAUUGAGCCGUACAGUGUGUUCAUGCAGAAAGAGAAUGUGCUUUAUUCAACUGCCAGUUACUUACCUAAUAAUUAAAUGUGUUUGAAAGACAAACUUAGGGAUACUUUUGUAAAAUAUCUGCUUCUGUGUGAUCGAUGUUUGUGAGCUGAAACCAAGUCAAACCUGCUGUCCACUACGCUGCUGUGCAACUAUUUCACUUAUUUGUAAUAUUUCAUCAAAUGCUUUUAAUUUAAAACCUAGCUUUGUUUUUGUAAGUACAUUUCAUUCCUUGUGUAAGCUUAAUGUCUAAAAAAAAUAAUACUUUCUUGUGUAACAAAGUUAAAGACCAGAACCUAACAAUGAUCGAAUAAAUUAUUCACGAAACAAAGCUGAUUCUCUUCAG